UGUCUACAGCAAGGGACUACAUUAGCAUAUCUACUCAGUACAGAAAUGAAAUUGUCCUUUGUUUUCUAUUUUAGGUCAGAACUAAAGUAGGGUAGGUGGUGUGGUAAGUCAGCUUGGCUCACAGUCUAGUCUAGCCUGGAUUUAUUAGUGAUUGUGAUAAUAUUAUGUGUUCCAUCUGGCGCUGCCAUUCUUUUAUGUCUCAAAUGUUUCAGAAUUCAGAUGGGGAAAAGGUGUAUUGGGCUUUUAAAGCCCUCAUAAGAGAAUAUUUCAUACUAUCAGAAAAAGGUACCACUUCUUCAUAUCUACUUACAAACUAUCUAAUAGAAUUACUUGUGAGUCUGAAUUGCAGUAGCAAUUCUUCCACAUCAACUUUUAAAGAAAAAAAAAAAGAAAAGAAAAAAGAAAAAAAAAUCCCUUAUCAAACACUGCAGGCAACCUCAGGUACUUCAGAAUCAAGAGGCCAUGCUGAGUCAGUGUUUGGAGUUGGGAGAGUGGGCUUUUAAUUCAAUAAGUCAGAGAGGAAAGAAUGCAUAAGGAAAGAGGCCAAAGGGAUUUAUGGUAGAGAAGGAUAGAGCCAACGAAUGAGGGAAUCAGGAAUAUGGAGUGGGAAGCAUUAUGACAGAAGUCCAGAAUGAGACUGAUCUUAUUUACAUGCUUGAGAUGAGGACAAUAGCAAAAAUUGCUCUAACAGUGCAGGCUUUGGACUAUCUGGUAAUAUCUUGACCUCUGGAGGGGAUGGGGACAAAGGCUGGUCAUGCGGGAAGUCUACCAAAAUUUGUGACUGAUCAUCAAUAGAAGCUCUGGACACCAAGGCCUGGAUGAUCUUCAUUAGUUGGUAGUAUUCCAUGGGUGUCAUCACACAUCAAUGAGAAAAGAAAAAUCAUUGUUUUGCAUAACUUCACUGGGAGAAACUAGAAGUUGUCCUCCACCGAGAAGACCACCAGAAGCUCAUGCUCGAAAACCUCUUGGGUCCCACCCUGUGCACUCUCUCCUUGAAUGAUUUUAAUUGGUAUCCUUUCACUAUAAUAAACUGUCACCAUGAGUCU